rnacentral:rRNA from 1 species
GCACAAGCGGUGGAGCAUGUGGAUUAAUUCGAUGCAACGCGAAGAACCUUACCUACCCUUGACAUGUACGGAAGGCCGAAGAGAUUUGGCUGUGCUCGAAAGAGAACCGUAACACAGGUGCUGCAUGGCUGUCGUCAGCUCGUGUCGUGAGAUGUUGGGUUAAGUCCCGCAACGAGCGCAACCCUUGUCAUUAGUUGCUACAUUUAGUUGAGCACUCUAAUGAGACUGCCGGUGACAAACCGGAGGAAGGUGGGGAUGACGUCAAGUCCUCAUGGCCCUUAUGGGUAGGGCUUCACACGUCAUACAAUGGUACAUACAGAGGGCCGCCAACCCGCGAGGGGGAGCUAAUCCCAGAAAGUGUAUCGUAGUCCGGAUCGCAGUCUGCAACUCGACUGCGUGAAGUUGGAAUCGCUAGUAAUCGCGGAUCAGCAUGUCGCGGUGAAUACGUUCCCGGGC